rnacentral:rRNA from 1 species
GCGUGUGUGAAGAAGGCCUGCGGGUUGUAAAGCACUUUCAGUCGAGAAGAAAAGCGGGGUGUUAAUACCGCCUCGUCUUGACGUAACCGACAGAAGAAGCACCGGCUAACUCUGUGCCAGCAGCCGCGGUAAUACAGAGGGUGCGAGCGUUAAUCGGAAUUACUGGGCGUAAAGCGUGUGUAGGUGGUUACUUGAGUCGGAUGUGAAAGCCCCGGGCUUAACCUGGGAAUUGCAUUCGAUACUGGGUAGCUAGAGUACGGUAGAGGGUAGCGGAAUUCCCGGUGUAGCGGUGAAAUGCGU